GACGAACCGUGCGAACGUUAUUCGGAAUCACUGGGCUUAAAGGGUGCGUAGGCGGGUAUAUAAGUCGAGGGUGAAAGCCUCUAGCUCAACUAGAGAAGUGCCCUCGAAACUAUAUGUCUUGAGAGAGAUAGGGGCAUACGGAACUUCCGGUGGAGCGGUGAAAUGCGUAGAUAUCGGAAGGAACGCCGGUGGCGAAAGCGGUAUGCUGGAUCUUUUCUGACGCUGAGGCACGAAAGCUAGGGUAGCGAACGGG
rnacentral:ncRNA from 2 species